rnacentral:lncRNA from 1 species
UCAUGGUGAUCUCAACACUUGGAAGAAUUAGGUGCAACGGACAUGAGAGUCUAGCCAAGGGUAAAGGAGAGACGAUCUCCCUUGUUGAACAAGUUAAUGGCGAAGGGGAGACGACUGUCAUUAAUUUGUUCUCUCUAGACUUCUAUCCCAUCACCAAUAAGCCAUUAGAUCACUCAAUCUUAACCGGACCAAACCAAAGAGGAGGCAACCAAUCUAUUGAAGAUACUGUUCAACCCAAAAAGAGCCACGAGCAUUGUCCAGGUCAAAUGAAGUCCAAUAACAAGUGUUCCAGCCCAACUGCCACUUGGAUCACAUUCUUAGCUCAACCAAAGCACGCCUCGAAGUGGAAUCAGUCCAAUUGGAGUUCAGAUGAAGGAGAUAUUGAGUUUAUAAAUCGGGUGAUCCUCUACUUACCCGAUUUGGACAUAUGCGCCUUAAUUGGAGAAUUCCGACUAAACCAGGAGGAAUUAAGCUAUCAACCGACUUGUUCUGGAAUCUUGACUCAUCAGAGAAUCACAGAGAAUUUGAUUCAGACCGAGAUCGAUUCUGGUUUAGGAGAUAUCCAAAUUCUAACCCGAUGGAUCCUCCACUUGCCUUAUUUGCCACCUUCUAGGUUUUGGAGUCUUCAGACAUAUCUUUGGCGACCAGGAGACAUUCUAACUCAACCAGAGGCUCUACGAGGCGUCCUUACUUCCACCAAAACGCAUAGGAUCAAUUGGAGAUGCACAUGGACCGACCUUCCUUAUUUAGAUCCAAGUGCAUUCAACAUGUUCACACUUGGUGUCAUAACUCUCCAACGGCUAUAUCCUUGCUGCUUCUACGACUUGAGCACACAUUCAGCGAACCUGGACGUCCCAAGACAUCACUUCUACGCACCCAAGUUGUCAAGACUUAAGCUCAGCUCCAUUUACCUUAUUUGGCCGAGAUUUGGUCAUUAUGACUUAAACGGCUAGUUUUGCAUUUAGUUUGUGAUUUCUUUCUUGCUUUAGCUUUUUAGAACUUCGGUUUAGACUUGUGUAGAGCAUUAUAUAAGCUCAUCUUUGUCUUCAUUGUAAAUCACCAUUCAAUCUUAAAUAAAAGGCAUUUUCGUUUUCUUCAAAGAGAGUUCUUUGUAAGAGUUGUUUAUUUUGAAUAUUGUGUGUGAUUCACAUUGUUCAUUAGAAUUCUUGGAUUAAACUAUUUGUGUGAUUCAAGUAGUCUGUUCCAUCACCUGAUAGAGAGAGUCUAUCAUCAUCAGAUUGAGUGAGUCAAUCAAAUCCACCACCUUCCAUCCCACCUUCAUAUCCACUUCCGCACAAAGCUUGUUAGCUUUUGAUUAUCAAGAGAUCACUAAGCAUCGGUGUGAUUCCGUGCCUACAUCAUCUGGUAUCAGAGCUCAAGUUCCUACCAAGGUGCUUUUGUUUUUAUCUUUUGCUUUUUGUUAUUUCUUUCAUUAUAAAAUUAAAAACCCAUAAAAAACUUGUUUCCAUUCUGUUUUCAUUGUUUUGUUAUCUGAUUUCUUUUCUAGACUCACAAAAAAAAAAAAUCUCUUGUUUUGAAAUAUUCUAUGCUUGCUUUGAUUCUCAAAACCAGAAAAUAAAAAUAAGAAUUUUUCCUUUUGUUAUUUGCAUUUUCGAAUUCUUUUCAAAAAAAAAAAUCAUAAAGAAAAUUUUGCUUUUGCUUAUUUUAGUUAUCGAGAUCUUCCGUUUUUAAAAGAAAGAAAACCAAAUAAAAAGUUAAUUAUUUCUUCUGAAUUUUGUCCCAAAAAAAAAUAAUAAUAAUCUGUUUUCCUUUUUCUUGUUAGUCGAAUUACUUUGUUUCCUUUUACUUGGUCGUGUCUUCAAUAUUGCAAAUAUUUAUUUUUGUCGACCACUGAGUCACGCUUCUGAUUAUCUCUUGUCUCUCUCUUGCGAGGUACAACUUUAAAGCCAGAAAAUUAUGGAGUAUGAAGAUGAAGCCAACAAAUACAACACAUCCGAAAUUGAUUGGGGUGAGGAACCGUAUGAUUCAUGGGAAGGAGGAGGAGCAUACGAAGACCAGUCAUGCUAUGGAGAAACUGAUCCUUAUAUUAGUUAUGGAAGUGCCCCAGCAUGUGAAGAAGAAGACUCACAGAUCGAAGGUGCUGCUUCCCAAAUCAGUCAUGGAGAUGAAUAUGAGAAUUCUGAAAGAGAUGACCAUGACGGAGAUUCAUGGCAGGGAGAGACUGAAUCCCAGCUCAGUCAAGGAGAGGGGGACCACGAAAGUGAGCAAGAUCAUAGAGAGUUCACUUAUGCAGGAGAUCAUGAUCAGUUCAUAGAACAAUACCAAAAACGUUGGUAUGAAGAAACUGAUUCUCAAAUCAGUUCAGAAGAUGGUGAUCCAUAUGAUGAUGAGCCUUGGAACGUGGGAGUUGAUCCAAAAGAAGGUUAUGUUGAUAAAUUGGAGAUUGAAGAACAGGUUCAAGAACCAAAUAAAGCAAACAUCAACUACACCAUGGAAGAUGAGUCUUGUGGUGAGCCAACAGAUGAUGAAGCAGCUUGUGAGCCAUGUCACAUCUACUUUUCAGGUCAUGAUCAAGGACCAGAAGCUUACCUACAAUGGGAGAACGAAAUGGAAUACUGGAUGCGGUCCAACAACAUUCCUAAGGAGGAGAGACUAUCAUAUGCAAAUUGACUCAUUUGUUGGAGAAGCUACCACCUGGUGGCGACAGGAAGAAGCUCUAAACUACUACCAUAAUCCAGUUCGCAGUUGGGGUGAUCUAAAGCAGCGUAUGCACAGAGAGUUCGUACAGAAGUUCUACAACCGCAACUACACUCCCAAGAAGCUUUUGUUCCAAGCAACUACAAAAGGUUGGAUAUCAAAACCACCGCUUGUCCCUAAGCACAAGCACGCCUACUGUCCUGAGCCAAAGAAAGUGUUUCAAAACACUUUGGAGAAGAAGUCAAAUGCUGAGAAACCAGUGGUAACUACAGAAGUUAAACCAAAUUUAAACCCACCACUCACAGCUCACAAGGGAAGCACAAAAUCGACACUUGAGCCACAAGACAAAGCAAAGCAAUGUAAGUCUUCUAAAACUCUUAUGAUAGAUACCAAAAUCUGUUAUAGAUGUCAUCAGAGAGGACAUUUUGCUAAGACAUGCCCAUCUAGAGAAUUAGAGAUUAGUUCAUCAGUUGAACCAGAAAAAGAAGAAGCUAGAAAAAUAGAAAAAGAUGAGUUGCAUUUUAAAAUUUCCAAUUCAGAUAUGAUUUGCUUGUCUUUGCCAAAGGUUUUUGAUGCAGGUUUAAAUCAUGGAGAGCAGCACUAUGAAGAGAUAGAUAUGUGUCAGCCUACUCCUGAGAAAGAUGAAGUUGUUACCAACUUCACUCUGAUCCAACCAGAGCCACCAGAUAACAUGUUAACUCCAAAUGUCGUGGCAAUAAAGGAAACAGAACUAAACGAUAGUUCUACUCAGGUAAGUAGCACAAUUCUCUCACUUAUUUCUGAUAAUUCUAAGUCUGUGAUAAUGAAUAUUUUAUAUCCAGAGACAUGUGAGAAAGAACCCAUCUCUUAUUUUAAACAACAAAACUGUGAACAAUAUGAUGCUUUGCAAAAGGUUAAUGAAAUGGUUAAACCUAGAUCAUGUUUCUGUGUUUCUUGUACUACCAUGACUGCCAUAACGCACUUGUCUUCUGUCAAAAGUGUCAAAGAUCUUGCAGGUACAGAAGAGAUUUUACAAAAAUCCAAACCACCAAGCUUUAGUGGAGACACACCACGUGAAUAUGAAGUUUUCACCAAGACGACUACGUUGCUGCCAAAGGAAAUCAACAACAAACCUUGGAGAGGAGUCAUUGCCUCUUUACUGAUCAAAGAAGAACCACCAGACAUUCCACACCAAUCCCACCUGAACUGGAAUGGAGAAAUGAUCCAAGGUAAGUUUCUAGACUCACAUCUUUACCAUAAUACUAACUUGCUCUAUCUUUGUGCAGAUGAAUUAGUUUCGAGGACGAAACUUUUUCAAGAGGGAGGGUAUGAUGCGGACAUCAACCCAUCAAGACGUCUCAUGGUGAUCUCAACACUUGGAAGAAUUAGGUGCAACGGACAUGAGAGUCUAGCCAAGGGUAAAGGAGAGACGAUCUCCCUUGUUGAACAAGUUAAUGGCGAAGGGGAGACGACUGUCAUUAAUUUGUUCUCUCUAGACUCCUAUCCCAUCACCAAUAAGCCAUUAGAUCACUCAAUCUUAACCGGACCAAACCAAAGAGGAGGCAACCAAUCUAUUGAAGAUACUGUUCAACCCAAAAAGAGCCACGAGCAUUGUCCAGGUCAAAUGAAGUCCAAUAACAAGUGUUCCAGCCCAACUGCCACUUGGAUCACAUUCUUAGCUCAACCAGAGCACACCUCGAAGUGGAAUCAGUCCAAUUGGAGUUCAGAUGAAGGAGAUAUUGAGUUUAUAAAUCGGGUGAUCCUCUACUUACCCGAUUUGGACAUAUGCGCCUUAAUUGGAGAAUUCCGACUAAACCAGGAGGAAUUAAGCUAUCAACCGACUUGUUCUGGAAUCUUGACUCAUCAGAGAAUCACAGAGAAUUUGAUUCAGACCGAGAUCGAUUCUGGUUUAGGAGAUAUCCAAAUUCUAACCCGAUGGAUCCUCCACUUGCCUUAUUUGCCACCUUCUAGGUUUUGGAGUCUUCAGACAUAUCUUUGGCGACCAGGAGACAUUCUAACUCAACCAGAGGCUCUACGAGGCGUCCUUACUUCCACCAAAACGCAUAGGAUCAAUUGGAGAUGCACAUGGACCGACCUUCCUUAUUUAGAUCCAAGUGCAUUCAACAUGUUCACACUUGGUGUCAUAACUCUCCAACGGCUAUAUCCUUGCUGCUUCUACGACUUGAGCACACAUUCAGCGAACCUGGACGUCCCAAGACAUCACUUCUACGCACCCAAGUUGUCAAGACUUAAGCUCAGCUCCAUUUACCUUAUUUGGCCGAGAUUUGGUCAUUAUGACUUAAACGGCUAGUUUUGCAUUUAGUUUGUGAUUUCUUUCUUGCUUUAGCUUUUUAGAACUUUAGUUUAGACUUGUGUAGAGCAUUAUAUAAGCUCAUCUUUGUCUUCAUUGUAAAUCACCAUUCAAUCUUAAAUAAAAGGCA